UAACACGUAUCCAACCUGCCGAUGACUCGGGGAANCCUUUCGAAAGAAAGAUUAAUGCCCGAUGGCAUAGUUCUUCCGCAUGGUAGAACUAUUAAAGAAUUUCGGUCAUCGAUGGGGAUGCGUUCCAUUAGGUUGUUGGCGGGGUAACGGCCCACCAAGCCUUCGAUGGAUAGGGGUUCUGAGAGGAAGGUCCCCCACAUUGGAACUGAGACACGGUCCAAACUCCUACGGGAGGCAGCAGUGAGGAAUAUUGGUCAAUGGACGAGAGUCUGAACCAGCCAAGUAGCGUGAAGGAUGACUGCCCUAUGGGUUGUAAACUUCUUUUAUACGGGAAUAAAGUGANGCACGUGUGCCUUUUUGUAUGUACCGUAUGAAUAAGGAUCGGCUAACUCCGUGCCAGCAGCCGCGGUAAUACGGAGGAUCCGAGCGUUAUCCGGAUUUAUUGGGUUUAAAGGGAGCGUAGGCGGACGCUUAAGUCAGUUGUGAAAGUUUGCGGCUCAACCGUAAAAUUGCAGUUGAUACUGGGUGUCUUGAGUACAGUAGAGGCAGGCGGAAUUCGUGGUGUAGCGGUGAAAUGCUUAGAUAUCACGAAGAACUCCGGUUGCGAAGGCAGCCUGCUGGACUGUAACUGACGCUGAUGCUCGAAAGUGUGGGUAUCAAACAGGAUUAGAUACCCUGGUAGUCCACACAGUAAACGAUGAAUACUCGCUGU
rnacentral:rRNA from 1 species